AGCCAAUUGGGGUCUUUGAGGCGAAUGCGAGGCUGGGGCCGGUUGCCUACCGGCCGCUUCUCGCCGAGGCAGUCCAGACUUUUCCCCCGGCGGUGCCCGCUCCAAGACAGCAUCUGUCAACGCUCCUCUUCUCCCCUCCUCCUCCUGCCGGGCCGGGCUCCGCCGGCUGCGGCCGAGAGGACGCGGGACCCGGCGCGGUGAGCCCAUCAGCUGUCAGGCGAGCGGCGAAGCGGCUGGAGGGCGGCGAGAGACACACAAAGAACGCGGUGGGCGGCGGCGGCGAAAGGGGACGGCAACUCCUCCCCGCGCCCGCCGGUGCCACCGCCGGCCGUGCUUGUUCCGAGGCCGCGCAGACAAUGCGGCCGGGCUCGUCCCCGCGUGCCCCAGAGUGCGGAGCGCCCGCGCUCCCCCGACCCCAACUUGACCGUCUCCCGGCUCGCCCAGCCCCCUCCCGGGGUAGGGGCGCCCCCUCCCUCCGGUGGCCGGCGAAGGAAGUCGGUCCGCGGCCGCAGAUCCCGGCAACUUGCGAACCGGGAAAAGUUUGCGGCGCCUCCGCGGGGCGGCGCGACGCGGCCCGCCCCUCGCGUCCGCGGUCAUCGCGGGUGACUUUCUCGACUCGUCGUCAGCCGGGGCCGCAGCGCGGCCGGUGGGGACUGCGGGGCGGGCCGGAGUCCGUCCGAGGGCUCCCGCACCUCGGGCUGCGGAUUUCAGGUACUCCACUGGGCAUUUUCUCUUCAUGGAGCUUAUAGCAACAAAAGUGUUUUACAAAACACCAGACAUGUUGGCAUCAUCUCUUAGUUGGGCCAUGUGGCCAGGGAACCCUUCAUGAAACCACCUCUGCAGUCCUGGAGAGUUGCUGUAGAAGAAGGAAAAGAGAGGAAGACAACACAACACAGGAGGGGAUAAGUACCUCUGGACACAAUGGAAGUAGUAGUUGUUGAGCAGAGGGAAAGGGAUAGGAGAAGGAUGUGGACUGCAGUGCUGCAGUGCCAGGUAAUAACUUUGAUCAUGUACCUCCUUGGCUCAGGUGCUGUCUCUUCUACUCUCCUCCUUACUUGUACUACCUUAUUUAGCACUUAAUUAUAUACUUUCUUGACUCACUUUGAGACACACUGAUUAUGUGGUCUGCCUCAAAGACAGAAUCCUAGUUUUGGAUUUUAGCAUUACUGAUCUAUAGCCUUGCAGGGGCUUAAGGAUGGCAGCUGUCUCUCUCCCUUGGGAUCUAGCUUUUGCAAAUAUUGAAGGGAAGAGAUUUCUUUGAUCUUAUAGGAAUAGAUCCACAGUUCCUCUCCAGAUUUGCUUUUAUAGAGAAGUGUGUGUCACCAAAACAAUGGAGAUACGGUCAGAGAGGCCCCUACCCCCAGAAUUUUAAUAUAAUUUUACUUUCUGGGGCAUUUAUUCUUGACAAAUACUUUCUCUCCUAUCAGCUCACUUGUUCCUCACAAAAACCCUAUAAGAUAUUAAUAUUAUUAAACAGACCCCUAUGAAGCACCUCAAGUCUUUCUCUCUUCCCACUUCCAUUCUUGCACACCUUUUGCUAGACUAGUCUCUGCGUUCAUCACAUCAGGUUUCUAAAAUAAAAGUCCCCUAAUAACUUUCUAUUUGUUCUCUCAUCAUAUUGAACCUUUUUUGCCUGGCUUAUAAGGUGGCCUUAAAACCCCAUUUUCCUCUAAACAUUGUCUCUGUAGUUCAGGAAUAUGGCAGGCUCAACACUAUGCUUGAGCCCAUAUUGCUUCCCUCAUUAGUGAUGCCUCCUCUCAGACCACCCAGAUUCUACUCAUUCUUCAAUUUCCAGCUUCUCCUUGGAGCCUUCCCAGAUCAUUAGCUUCUUAAAAAUCCCAGCUUUCUCUGAAUUCUGAUGGUAGCCCCCGUUAUUUGGACAAUUAUGUCCUGGUCUUAAAGUCCUAAUGGGAAAAAAAAGUACAUGAUGGACUUCAUGUAGAGAAGAAAGCACUGGACUGAGUUUUAAGACAGCUGCUAAGGAGCUGUGUGAGCCAAACCAGGUUACUUUACCUCUCUGGAUCUAUAUUUGCUGAUCUGUUAAGUGGAGACAAUUGGGUCAGAUAAUCUUGGUGGUCUUUGCUUAUUCUGAGGUUCUUGGACAACUUGGCCUAGUUCACGUGGGAUGGGAUUGAAGAUCUUACUGAGUUCUUGGAUGGAAAUGUCAGUAAUGGGCACUUAGUGCCUUCAGGACUUGUUCUAUACUAUCCCAGAAAUUUCUGAUGCUAAACUUGGCAAUUUUUAAAUGUCAUAUUCCUUUUCUCCAAACUCUUUAACCACAAGAAUUCAGGGAAGGUUAUGGGGGGUGACUUAGUUAUCUGGAUAAUACAUAUUGUGGACAAUAUAGCAUUAUCCUUGGGAAUGAUUUCAUAUUGUUGAAUAAAUAGGAUCAACUUCUUGAUAAACCUUAGUCCCAAGCAUUUCAUCUUCAUUGGAUAGUGUUACAUAGUAAUAUAUUUAUGUUUUCUUUUAAUCAUUUCAUAACUUGGAAAAUACUAACAUAGUCAAAACUCUAGGGUAGGUGAUACAUGAGUUUCUGUAGUAAUCUGGUUGGAGACAUGUUGUAAUUCUGUAUAUAUAUGUACAUUUAUCCCAUGCAUGUUAUGCCUAAACUAAGACGGAUACCCCUGAAUUAAGAGGUGCUGUUAUACAUUGACCAGGCUUAAGAAUAUCUCUUUAAAGUGUGUCGACAUUUAAUUGACCUUUGGAAGUUCAUUCUGUUAAUCAUACUCAAAGUGCUAAAGCUAUGGUUGACUGCUCUGGUGUUUUUAUAUUCAUUCGUGCUUUAGCAUAUAAAUUCUUCAGCAUAAUUGCUACUUAUUUAGCAAGAGUUUCCUUUAUUUGAAAAUGUGAGUUGUGCUUGUAUUUUUGUGUCUUUCUUUCUUUCUUUCUUUUUUUAAACUUUGCUUCAGGCUGGGUAGUGGUAGAGGUUUGAAUUAAAAUGUUUUCCUGUCAGUA
rnacentral:lncRNA from 1 species